GUGUGAAGAAGGCCUUGGGUUGUAAGGCACUUUAAGCGACGAGGAUGCUACUUAAGAUAAUACCCUAUAGAUACUUGGGAGUUACUCCGCAAAAUUAGCAGCCAGGCUAACUCUGUGCCAGCAGCCGCGGUAAUACAGAGGGUGCAAGCGUUAAUCGGAUUUACUGGGCGUAAAGCGCGCGUAGGCGGCUAAUUAAGUCAAAUGUGAAAUCCCCGAGCUUAACUUGGGAAUUGCAUUCGAUACUGGUUAGCUAGAGUGUGGGAGAGGAUGGUAGAAUUCCAGGUGUAGCGGUGAAAUGCGUAGAGAUCUGGAGGAAUACCGAUGGCGAAGGCAGCCAUCUGGCCUAACACUGACGCUGAGGUGCGAAAGCAUGGGGAGCAAACAGGAUUAGAUACCCUGGUAGUCCAUGCCGUAAACGAUGUCUACUAGCCGUUGGGGCCUUUGAGGCUUUAGUGGCGCAGCUAACGCGAUAAGUAGACCGCCUGGGGAGUACGGUCGCAAGACUAAAACUCAAAUGAAUUGACGGGGGCCCGAACAAGCGGUGGAGCA
rnacentral:rRNA from 1 species